rnacentral:lncRNA from 1 species
GGACAGACUGUACAAUAAAAUGCUGAAGUUGCAGUAAGAGUUUGACGAAGGCCCACGUGUAAUCCCUUAUUGACAAUUGCAGAACUCUGACCAACAGAUUUCACAUUGGGUAUUUAACAUGUUUCAUCAUUUAAUCAUAUUGAUAAUUAAACAGAGGCUUUACUUAAACAAGUUUCUUUCAAAACAACGUAAAGGCAAAGUGUACACAAUUAACUACUCCACAGAAUUUUUUAUGCCCUGGCCGUAACGGAGGGGGCAUUAAGUUUUACCCUUGUCUGUCUGUACGUACGUACGUCCGUACGUCCCAAAGUUGGUUUCCGUUCUCUUACUUUAGUUUGCCUCAACUAAAUGUUAUGAAACUUAUACACAAUGCUUAUUACCACAAAACACAAAUCAAGUAUGAAUUUUGGUGGCGUCACUUUAACGGUUCUAGAGUUAUGCCCCUUUACAAAUGGACAAAUUGCUGAAUUUUCAUUUCCGUUCUGUUACUUUAGUUUGCCUCAACCAAAUGUUAUGAAACUUAUACACAAUGCUUAUUACCACAGAACACAGAUCAAGUUUGAAUUUUGGUGGUGUUGCUUUAACCAUUAUAGAGUUGUGCCCCUUUACCAUGUUUACAAAUGGAAAAAAUUGCUGAAUUUUUCGUUUCCGUUCUCUAACAAGUUAGCCUCAACCAAAUGUUAUGAAACUUAUACACCAUGCUUAUUACCACAAAAUACAGAUCAGGUUUGAAUUUUAGGGGUGUCAAUAUUACUGUUCUACAGUUAUGCCCCUUUAUAACGUUAUAUGAUAUGCAAGCGGGGGCAUCAUCUGUGUCCCAUGGACACAUUCCCCAUUUAUUUAAUUAUCACAUAUUUGGAUUCUGCUUGUAAAAAUACACCAGAAAAAUUUUGAAUGUGUUUUUCACUGUAACGGUCAAAUGUCAUGAAUGUAGAACCCCCUUUAACAAACUUUAACAAAACAGAACCGAUCAAACUUUCAUUAAUUUUCAUGAUUAUAUUUUAUGUUUUUUUGUUUCUUUUAGUUAAUGCCCCUUAAAAAUAUUUCUCUUCAAAUUACAACUCUUGUGUACAAACAUGAUAAAAUGUUGUGUUUUUCUUUUACAGGAUAUAAUGGCAAGUUGGGAUCAGGUAAGAUUUUCUUCUUUAAAGUCAAUGGUCAUGUGACCAGUAUGUUGUCUAUAAACUGUACAUAAAGAUACAGGAGUGUAGUAUUCUCAGAGUCAGUCAGAGGGAGAAUAGGAGAAAUUAAAUUGACUACAGUUAUGGUCAUGACAGUGAACAGAAUUUCCAUAUAUAUACAAAUUAUCACUAUUUUACGAAAUUUUCCUUUGAUCUUACUAACUGAUAAUUUCCUUUCUCAGCACUGUAGAGUGAUACCAAAAAUUAUCGAUAGAUACUAAGGGUGCACAUGCCGUUGUCAAUGAAAUUGUGUUUUUCUUUUACAAGAUAUAAUGGCAAGUUGGAAUAAGGUAAGAUUUUCUUCUUAAAAAUCAAUUGUCAUGUGACAUAUGUUGUCUAUAAACUGUACAUAAAUAUAAAGGUGUGUAGUAUUCUCAGUCAGUCAGUGUCAUGUGACCUAUGUCAUGUGACCUAUAUGUUGUCUAUAAACUGUACAUAAAGAUACAGGUGUGUAGUAUUCUCAGAGUCAGUCAGUGUCAUGUGACCUCAGGUGUAUUCUCAGGGGGAGAACAGGAGAAAUCAAAAGGACUACAGUGAACAGAAUUUCAAUAUACAAAAUUCCAGGAGACAAAAAAAAAAGGAACGUAAGAUAUUGUAGGACAUUCACAACUCUUUAAGUCGAAGAGAAUCUGACAUCGCCAUGGAAAAAAAUGAAAAACAAUCAAAAUUCAACAGUCUACAUUAGUCAUUUCAGGGCCUUUUAUAGCUGACUAUGCCAUAUGGGCUUUGAUCAUUGUUGAAGGCUGUACGGUGACUUAUAGUUGUUAUUUUCUGUGUCAUUUGGUCUAUUUUGUAUAAUUGUCUCAUUGGCAAUCAUACCACAUCUUCUUUUUAUAUUCAAAACAUUACAUAGAAAACUAAAGACCGAGCAACACAAACCUCAACAAAAACUUAGGCUGAUCUCAAAACUGAUGCAUAAUACAAUUGUCUACAGACUUUUCUAAAAAAAACUCUGAAAUUAUAGACAACAAUUUCACUCCUUCUUGGUAAUCACUGUAUUUGGUAUAAACUGUUGAAACUGUAAAAAUGUAGCUUGUUAAAUUCAAUUAUUACAUUUAUAUAAUAUUUGUAUGUUCUAGAGGAAAAUGUAAAAGCUUUGUUUUGCUUACAGAAACUUCUUACAGCUGCAGAGAAGGGGAAUAUAAAAGAGGUAGAAUUAUGUGUAAAGAACAGAGCUAACUUGGAAUGUAGCAAUUCUGUAAG